ACUCAAAUGAAUUGACGGGGGCCCGCACAAGCAGCGGAGCGUGUGGUUUAAUUCGAGGCUACACGAAGAACCUUACCUGGACUGGACAUAACGGUAGUAGAACCUGGAAACAGGGACGACCUUCGGGAGCCGUUACUGGUGCUGCAUGGCUGUCGUCAGCUCGUGCCGUGAGGUGUUAGGUUAAGUCCUGUAACGAGCGCAACCCCCGGUGCCAGUUAAAUCGUCUGGCGCGACUGCCCGUGACAAACGGGAGGAAGGCGGGGAUGACGUCAAGUCAGCAUGGCCUGUAUGUCCAGGGCUACACACACGCUACAAUGGUCGGUACAAUGGGUCGCCAAGUCGCAAGACGGAGCUAAUCCACCAAAGCCGGCCUCAGUUCAGAUUGUGGGCUGCAACCCGCCCACAUGAAGUCGGAGUUGCUAGUAACCGCGCGUCAGCCAUAGUGCGGUGAAUACGUUCCCGGGCCUUGUACACACCGCCCGU
rnacentral:rRNA from 1 species